GUUAAACUGGUAAUUUAUUUUUUCUUUUUAAUAAUGUCUAAAAAAUUAUUAUAAUAGGAUAAUAUUGUAAAAAUAAGUUAAAAUGAACAAAAGAUAACGGCAAGAGUGUCAAUAAUUUAAUGACAGAGAUGAUUUGAGGUAUUUUAAAAAAUAUAGGGACUAAACGAAUACUAACUUUAAAAUAUAGGGACUAAACAAACUUUUACCCUUGAUAAUUUUUAAAUCAUUUUUCUUACUUUUGAAUUCUAAAAGUAAUUAAUUUUCUUCUCAAAAAAGUAUUAAUUUUAAUUAUUGACCAUCGCCCACUUGUUAAAGUAUAAAAACAUCCUUUUUUUAAUAUUUUUGUUGACUAAAGAUUUCAACUCUAAAAGAAAUACUUUUUAAAUUAACAAAAAUAAUAAAAUAAAAAUGACGCAGUCCGUAAAAUUCAAAAAAGAAAAUUGCCUUGGCCACACGCGGCCAUGGAUUUGACUCCCAGGUUGCCAUGGCCGCACGCGGCUAAGGCUUUGGUUCUAAGCCACCACACUUAUGGUUUCUUCAAAUAUAUCGGACCCGAUCUUAGGAUCAGAUACUCCCAAACUUUAAGGAGAUUAGGCUCAAAAAAGUUUCUUAAUUCAUCGGUUAUGGGUUUUAAGAAACAUAGUUGCGCUAAUUAAGAGCAUCGAGAGCUAACUCGAAUGGGUGAAAGGCAUGAACUGAAGGAUUUUACUGAAGCAGUUCAUAUCAGAAAUAGAGCUUCGAACAGCUUUCGUGCUUUGCCCCAUUUGGUCGAGACCAUAAGCCAAAAACAGAGAGUAUAUUAGAAGCCGUCUCGUACAACAAAUACAGAGCUAUUGAAGCGGCUUGAAUUAUGAACACUCAAUGGAAUAACUAAAACCAAAGCAAUAUACUCGCCAGGUGUUGCAGUUACCAUGGGCGGAUUCACCUUAGGACCAGUGGGGACUUAAGCCCCCACUGGAAAUUUUUUUUUUUAAUAAUUAAUUUAGUUUUCUUAAAAUUCUCAAUAAUUUUUUCUAAAGCCCCUGUUGAUUUAUAAAACCCCCAGUGAAUCACUAUAAUUUUUUCUAAAGCCCCCAGUGAAUCUGUCUCCGCCCCUGCCAGUUACCAUGGAUUUAGUUCCCAUGGCAGCGCGUGAACAUGGAUUUGGCUACCAUGCCGCGCACAACCAAGGGUUUGGUUUCCAUGGCUGUGCAUGGCCAUGGGUUUGGUUUCUAUGGCCACGUACUGUUAAGGGUUUGGUUGCCUUGGCUGCGCGUGGCUAUGGGUUUGAUUGUGUUGGCAGCGUACGGCCAUAGAUGGGAGAGAAGCCAAGGGUUUGAUAUUUAUGGGUGCAAAAUGGUAUUUUUUCAUUUUUUAUUUUAGAAAACUUAGAAAUAUUUAGGCCAUUGAAAAUUAGCCUACAUAGAGAUUUGACUUCUUUUUUUUUUUUUGGUUAAUUGACUGAUAUGAGAAUGUAUAAAUAUCAUUUUACCUUUUUGGCAUUAAAAAUAAAUGAGAUAACAAUUUUUAAUGAGUAACUUGAUGUAUUUAAAAGUAAAGGGAUAGUUUUGAUAUUGUCAAUUCACGAGAGGUAUGGGGAAAUUAAUCCUUACUACUUAUGGGUCCUUUAAACUUUGCUUUUCUUUUUACCUUAGUUUUGUCAAUGCUCAUCCACAUAUAAGAUACGAAUUUUAAUCUUCAAAAAAAUACUUUUAUAUUUUAUUUUCCCUUGAUUCUUUUUUUAUUAUUUUGUUUUACCUUGAUCCACAUCAAGAAAAAUAAUUUUGCUUA
rnacentral:lncRNA from 1 species